CUAACACAUGCAAGUCGAACGCAUCAGUGCUUCGGCGCUGAUGAGUGGCGAACGGGUGAGUAACACGUGAGUAACUUGCCUGGGGGAGGGGGAUAACCAUCUGAAAAGAUGGCUAAUACCCCAUAUUCUCCUUUAUUGCUAGAUAAAGGAGGAAAGGUAGCGUAAGCUGUCGCCCCCGGAGAGGCUCGCGUCCCAUCAGCUAGUUGGUAGGGUAAUGGCUUACCAAGGCUAUGACGGGUAGCUGGUCUGAGAGGAUGGUCAGCCACACUGGGACUGAGACACGGCCCAGACUCCUACGGGAGGCAGCAGUGAGGAAUCUUGGGCAAUGGGCGAAAGCCUGACCCAGCGACGCCGCGUGGAGGAAGAAGGUCUUCGGAUCGUAAACUCCUGUUCGGGGAGAAGAACAAGAGAGAAGUUAAUAGCUUCUCUCUCUGACGGUAUCCUCGGAGAAAGCUCCGGCUAAUUACGUGCCAGCAGCCGCGGUAAUACGUAAGGAGCGAGCGUUGUCCGGAUUUACUGGGCGUAAAGGGCUCGUAGGCGGCUUCUUAGGUCUCACGUGAAAUUCCCUGGCUCAACCGGGGAGGGUCGUGGGAAACCGGGAGGCUAGAGGGCAGGAGAGGAGAGUGGAAUUCCCGGUGUAGCGGUGAAAUGCGUAGAGAUCGGGAGGAACACCAGUGGUGAAGACGGCUCUCUGGACUGUUCCUGACGCUGAGGAGCGAAAGCCAGGGGAGCAAACCGGAUUAGAUACCCGGGUAGUCCUGGCCGUAAACGAUGGGUACUAGGUGUGGGGGGUUCGACCCCCUCCGUGCCGCAGUUAACGCAUUAAGUACCCCG
rnacentral:rRNA from 1 species